rnacentral:rRNA from 1 species
CCUACGGGCGGCAGCAGUGGGGAAUUUUGCGCAAUGCUCGUAAGAGUGACGCAGCGACGCCGCGUGAAUGACGAAGGCCUUCGGGUCGUAAAGUUCUUUCGACAGGGAAGAAAAUGCCUAUAAGUAACUGUGUAUGUAUUGACGGUACCUGUAUAAGCAGCCCCGGCUAACUCCGUGCCAGCAGCCGCGGUAAUACGGAGGGGGCGAGCGUUGUUCGGAGGGACUGGGCGUAAAGAGCACGUAGGCGGUGUUGUAAGUCAUUAGUCAAAGACUAGAGCUCAACUUUAGUAAGGCUAGUGAUACUAUAAUACUAGAGUAGCAGAGAGGAUUGCAGAAUUCCUGGUGUAGCGGUGAAAUGCGUAGAUAUCAGGAGGAAUACCGUUAGCGAAGGCGGUAAUCUGGCUGGAAACUGACGCUGAGGUGCGAAAGCGUGGGUAGCAAACAGGAUUAGAUACCCUAGUAGUC